CUCUGGGUGGUGUAAAUGGUUAACACACUCGGCUGCUAACCAAAAGGUUGGAGUUUCGAGUCCACCCAGAUG
rnacentral:tRNA from 1 species